rnacentral:rRNA from 1 species
UACGAAGGGGGCUAGCGUUGCUCGGAAUCACUGGGCGUAAAGGGUGCGUAGGCGGCUUGUUAAGUCAGGGGUGAAAUCCUGGAGCUCAACUCCAGAACUGCCUUUGAUACUGGCGAGCUUGAGUCCGGGAGAGGUGAGUGGAACUGCGAGUGUAGAGGUGAAAUUCGUAGAUAUUCGCAAGAACACCAGUGGCGAAGGCGGCCCUCGACAUG